rnacentral:rRNA from 1 species
GAUGAACGCUGGCGGCGUGCCUAAUACAUGCAAGUCGAGCGAACAGACGAGGAGCUUGCUCCUCUGACGUUAGCGGCGGACGGGUGAGUAACACGUGGAUAACCUACCUAUAAGACUGGGAUAACUUCGGGAAACCGGAGCUAAUACCGGAUAACAUGUUGAACCGCAUGGUUCAACAGUGAAAGACGGUCUUGCUGUCACUUAUAGAUGGAUCCGCGCCGCAUUAGCUAGUUGGUAAGGUAACGGCUUACCUAGGCAACGAUGCGUAGCCGACCUGAGAGGGUGAUCGGCCACACUGGAACUGAGACACGGUCCAGACUCCUACGGGAGGCAGCAGUAGGGAAUCUGCCGCAAUGGGCGAAAGCCUGACGGAGCAACGCCGCGUGAGUGAAGAAGGUCUUCGGAUCGUAAAACUCUGUUAUUAGGGAAGAACAAAUGUGUAAGUAACUAUGCACGUCUUGACGGUACCUAAUCAGAAAGCCACGGCUAACUACGUG